AGCAGACCCAUUGCAGACUUGGGCCGGUGUUCUGUCAGUUUAGUAUACAUUGUCCGAUCAGCAUACGCAUAGUGCAAACUGACGACUGCACCUAACCCUAACCUUAACCCGCAUGCGCAUUAAUGUAAUGUAUGCU